UUCGGAUCGCAGGCUGCAACCCGCCUGCGUGAAGUUGGAAUCGCUAGUAAUCGCGAAUCAGAAUGUCGCGGUGAAUACGUUCCCGGGUCUUGUACACACCGCCCGUCACACCACGAGAGUUUACAACACCCGAAGUCAGUGGCCUAACCGCAAGGAGGGAGCUGCCUAAGGUGGGGUAGAUGAUUGGGUGAAGUCGUAACAAGGUAGC
rnacentral:rRNA from 1 species